rnacentral:tRNA from 1 species
GCACCGCUAGCUCAAUUGGAUAGAGCAUCGGUCUACGGAACCGAAGGUUGGUGGUUCGAGUCCACCGCGGUGCG